AGGUGGGAGGAUGCCAUGGACGGAGUACAGAUAGCUAGCUAUGAUAGCUUCCUAAAAGUGGCGCUGUGCCCAGCAUUUUCUCCUCAAUGGAUUUAGUCGACUACCACUGAUGGAAGACCUCACCGGGAGCGAUUGGCUAUAAGCCUAAGCUAAAACCAGAUGCUUGCCCGACGAUCACCCCCCAUACGGAGUCUAAAAAGUCCAGGGAAGCUAGUGAAAUGUGCGUUAAAACGUGACAGAGAAGAUGCUGUGUGCUCUCCUGAGAAGACAACUAUGCUACGGUAACAUCAGGCAAAUCAGACUCGUCGCCACUCAUCACAGAGGAAGACCACCUCACUCCACACCAGAGUAUGAAGGAGGGCUUGCACCAACUUCCAAAAACCCAAAUUGAUGCCUGUCCCGUUAUUGUCGGCCAUUUCAGUGAUGAUGAAUCUGAACGUCAGACUGAACAGAAACUAGAGCUCUGAUGGAUCGGGGUUCCAAGCAGCUGCUGAUAGACCAUGAUGGCUGCACCUCAUGACCACCUACAUCCUGAAGACAAUAAAUAUGCUUAUUGGGCUGUAGUGACAAACAUGUACAUUUCUUUAGAGGGACACUGUGUGAGAUUUUUAGUUGUUUAUUUCCAGAAUUCAUGCUGCCCAUUCACUAAUGUUAACUUUUUCAUGAAUACUUACCACCAGCAUCAAAUUAAGUAUUCAUUAUGACUGGAAAAAUUGCACUUUUCAAACAUGAAAAGGGGGAUCUUCUCCAUUGUCCGCCAUUUUGAAUUUCCAAAAAUGACUGUACUUGGACCAUACUCAAAAGUACUUGUUUAAUACUUAAACUUUCAUGUUAAAAUCAAAUUUGGCAAUAGGCAGCCCAAUUUCAGUAAGCAGCAUAGUUGCAGUACCUUUUUUUGACCAUUUCCUGCACAGUGUCCCUUUAAUGUUACUUUUAACUUUGUUGUUGUGAGAAUCUUUCUAUUCUUGAUAUGAAAAUACAGUGCUGACUCUGUUUUCAGUUUUUUUUUAAUUUGUAUUACUAAACAAAGUAAGAAUUUGCACUUGACAUACUGAAACAUGUAAAAAAAAAAAAAAACCCGUAAAACUCUGUGCCUAAACCAAUUGAAUGUGUAAGCUUUACAUUUAUUUACAAGUAAUGACUUUGUUUAAAAAAGUGAGCUGGUGGGUCCGGACCGCAGCACUUCCUCUCCUGGUCGGCAUG